CCUACGGGAGGCAGCAGUGAGGAAUAUUGGUCAAUGGUCGGGAGACUGAACCAGCCAAGCCGCGUGAGGGAGGAAGGUACAGAGUAUCGUAAACCUCUUUUGUCAGGGAACAAAGGCGGGGACGUGUCCCCGGAUGAGUGUACCUGAAGAAAAAGCAUCGGCUAACUCCGUGCCAGCAGCCGCGGUAAUACGGAGAAUGCGAGCGUUAUCCGGAUUUAUUGGGUUAAAGGGGUGCGCAGGCGGUCUGUUAAGUCAGCGGUAAAACCCCGGGGCUCAACCGCGGCCCGCCGUUGAAACUGGCAGUCUCGAGUUGGAGAGAAGUAUGCGGAAUGCGCGGUGUAGCGGUGAAAUGCAUAGAUAUCGCGCAGAACUCCGAUUGCGAAGGCAGCAUGCCGGCUCCACACUGACGCUGAGGCACGAAAGCGUGGGUAUCGAACAGGAUUAGAUACCCCAGUAGUC
rnacentral:rRNA from 1 species